CUUUGCAGUAACUGGUAAUCCCUGCAGAGAGCAAUGAGGUCUGCCCUGAGCCUCCUCUUCCCCAGACCAAACACCCCCAGUGCCCUCAGGCGCUCCUCACAGGACCUGUGCUCUAGGGCCUUCACCAGAUUUGUAGCCCUUCUCUGGACAUGCCCCAGGGUCUCCAUGUCCUCCUGGUACUGAGGGGCCCAAAGCCGACCACACUUCAGCCCUGCUCUCAGGAGCCAGGCCCUCUGCUAGCUCACUCCAUGCUUACACCUGCAGGGUGUGCAGGGAACGCGGCACAGAUCGGAGAGCGGCUCUCCAAGAUAAAACCCUGGGAAGUCAACUAAGUCAAAUUCAGCUUUGACCUCCUCCUCCUGUAAUCCCUGCUCAUUUAAGAUAGCUAUUUAAACACUCUUAUCGAAGAGGGAAAAGCUGCCUUGGGAGAGCACAUAGAAAAUGCAGGCCGAAUCAGCUGCUCCUUCCCUAGCACAGUGCUGAAGAGCAGAGCAGGAUGCCAAAAACCCAUCCUGGCAUGCAAGCACACACAGGAUGCUUUGGAGAGAGAAGCUGGAAGCCACUGAGCUAACAAAGAAAAAUUCUCUUGGAUGCCCUGCACGCAAACACCUUUCUGCUGGAUACUCUAUCUGUGUUUUGGUUUAGUAGAGCAGAGCCCCAGGUUAAAUAGCUGUAGACAUGAGAAAUCUGGCAUCCACAUCCUCUGCAGCUUUACUCAUCAUCAACCUGUGCCCUCCUAACCAGAGGCUCAAUUUAAUUAGAAAAGCUGUGCUACGCUCGGAUGCCAAAAACGCAGUCAGAAGCCCCAGACCAUUUCCUGGUGGCAGGUGAAGCAGCUCUCUCUCUUUGUGGUGUCAACAAGCACCUAUCAAACCAGCCCCUCUUCCGUCCUUCCUUCCCUUUGUGCUCCAGCUGCAGCUCUCUCCUACCUGCUCGCAGGCAAUCAACUCUGCAGAGUUGUUUCCUAAAGCACAAAGCAAAUUGGAAGCUGUCUCUGGUGAGAUGUGGCCGUUGCUCCCUGUUUUCCAGGGAGACUCUGGCAGCUCGUCCAGGAGCAUGGAGAUGUGGCACGGUGACUGCUCACAGCCUGAGGACCUGGCACCAGCUCCUCUCGCAGUUGCCCCCUGGAGCCUCCAGUAGAAGGAACACACCUCACCUGAUGAUGCUCUCAUGCAUGAGCUCCUGUGGCACUU